AUUGAUCACACAGCUAGGAUCCUAGGCCCAGCCAAGUGUGCCCUGGGUUCUGUCGAUGAUCUGUGCAGCCCACUCUGAAGGACUGGCUGCCCCUGUGUGCUAAGCUGAAGGAGACCCACAGAAGAUGAAGACAAAGUGUGUCUUUGUAUGGCCUAGCAGGGACACAAACGCACACGAAAAAUAUGUGGAAGUCUGUAGUGGGGCACAAUGUAUCGGUUUCCGUGGAGACCCAGGGUGAUGACUGGGACACAGACCCUGACUUUGUGAAUGACAUCUCUGAGAAGGAACAACGGUGGGGAGCCAAGACCAUUGAGGGCUCUGGACGCACAGAGCAUAUCAACAUCCACCAGCUGAGGAACAAAGUGUCCGAGGAGCAUGACAUUCUCAAGAAGAGAGAGCUGGAGUCGGGGCCUAAAGCCUCCCAUGGCUAUGGGGGUCGGUUUGGAGUGGAAAGAGACCGGAUGGACAAGAGUGCCGUGGGCCACGAGUAUGUUGCUGAAGUGGAGAAACACUCGUCUCAGACUGAUGCCGCCAAAGGCUUUGGGGGCAAAUAUGGAGUUGAGAGGGACCGGGCAGACAAGUCAGCGGUGGGCUUUGACUACAAAGGAGAGGUGGAGAAGCACGCAUCUCAGAAAGAUUACUCUCAUGGCUUUGGUGGCCGCUACGGGGUAGAGAAGGAUAAACGGGACAAAGCAG
rnacentral:lncRNA from 1 species